rnacentral:rRNA from 1 species
UACGAAGGGGGCUAGCGUUGUUCGGAAUUACUGGGCGUAAGCGCACGGAGGCGGAUACUUAAGGUAGGUGUGAAAUCCCGGGGCUCAACCCCGGAACUGCCUUUGAUACUGGGUAUCUGGAGUCCGAGAGAGGUGAGUGGAAUUCCGAGUGUAGAGGUGAAAUUCGUAGAUAUUCGGAGGAACACCAGUGGCGAAGGCGGCUCACUGGCUCGGUACUGACGCUGAGGUGCGAAAGCGUGGGGAGCAAACAGG